rnacentral:tRNA from 1 species
GGUCUGGUGGUCUAGUGGUAUGAUUCUCGCUUAGGGUUCACCCUACAGCUGCUUGCGAGAGGUCCCGGGUUCAAUCCCCGGCCAGACCC